CUACGGGAGGCUGCAGUGAGGAAUAUUGCACAAUGGAGGAAACUCUGAUGCAGCAACGCCGCGUGGAGGAUGACGCAUUUCGGUGUGUAAACUCCUUUUAUAUGUCAAGAAAAUGACGGUAGCAUAUGAAUAAGCUCCGGCUAACUCCGUGCCAGCAGCCGCGGUAAUACGGAGGGAGCAAGCGUUACUCGGAAUCACUGGGCGUAAAGGACGCGUAGGCGGGAUAGAAAGUCAGGUGUGAAAUCCUAUGGCUCAACCAUAGAACUGCACUUGAAACUUCUAACCUAGAGUAUGGGAGGGGAAGAUGGAAUUAGUGGUGUAGGGGUAAAAUCCGUAGAUAUCACUAGGAAUACCUAAAGCGAAGGCGAUCUCCUGGAACAUUACUGACGCUAAGGCGUGAAAGCGUGGGGAGCAAACAGGAUUAGAUACCCGUGUAGUC
rnacentral:rRNA from 1 species